UGAAAAGAAUGAUGCCAAAAGUUAAAUAAUAUGCUUUUCUCGCUCUAUGAAUGGUUUCUGGGGCCCUGGCUAUAUAUAAAUGCUGUGGUAGUAAUGGAAAUCUCAUCUUCCUAGGACACAGCACCCUCCUACAGAGAAUGUACCUCCUAUUUAUGUGUACCACACAAGCAAAAGAGCAGCUGCUAAAACAUGGAUUUAUUUGUGCAUUACCGUCAAAUAUGAUCAAAGACACAAUUCUGAUAGCUUUGAUUAUCUGUAGUACUAGUGACAGAAAGAGCACUUGUACAGAACAUAUUCAUGUACAAAGCCAAUCAUUUAUUUAGCACUAAAAUCAAAUUAUAAAAACAACAAUUCCAUCUUAAAACAGGCAUUUUAAAAGCAUUUCUGUGAUUCUAAGUUUGCAUCAAGACAGUCUAAGUUUGCAUCUGCACAAUCUGGAUACCCAAAUCCCUCUAUAAUUUCCAAAGACAAAGACAAUUUUUGCUAGUUGUGAGGUGUCAGGGGGAAGCAGUGAUGCCCUGCAAACAGUUUAAUGGGCCCAGGGAACCCUGUUUCUUUCUCAACCUGAGGUGCCAUCCUUGAUCUCCAGGAAAAGAGAUUAGGGCUUGCUUAACCAGGUUCCUAGUAAAUGGUCAGGGAUCUUCUAUGCAAUAAUGUUGCAAAAUUUACUGAAGAGGAAAAAAAAAGUACAACGGAGGCUUCUUGCCCAUUUACACUCGCAAUGUUAGAUUUCGAAAACAGGGCCCUUCAUAGUCAGCAACCAAGUCCUGACUUCCAGAUGUAAUGCAGGCUGGUUAACAGCCCUUAAUAACUACUUUGCAAUUCCAAACGACUCCCUGACAGCUUCAGGGUGGGAUGGUCCUGGAAGACUCACAGAGCCAGGGACACCCACAUCCUCCAGCAUGUCCAGUUCCCUAUAAUUCUCUAUGGCCACAGGAAAUAAGCCAUGAAAUGGGACAGGAUUCUGGUUCUGUACAAGGUCAACCAGCUCCUAUCAAGGAAACAUGGAGGGAUACGUCUGCGAGGAGCCAUUCUGUGUUCUUCCGGCCUUCAGUCUUCCAUAUCAGUGAAUUUUCUCUUCUUGUAAUUCUGAACGAGGUUGGAAGCUGUGAUCUGAGAAGCCUGCCCCUUCUCCCAACACUGAAAGUCAUUCAGUCCUUUCUGCCCUGUUUGAAAUAAGCCCCUCUCCAUCUCGUCUAGCCUGGCUACCAGGGCUGAAGUGUCUUCGUUGUAAGCAUUCUGUGAGGAGUCCAUGAUGCGGCGAAAACGUCCGAUAAAAGUCUGGAAAACAAGGGAGUAAGAGAAGUCAGGGUUGACUUCACACCCCACAAAGUCAUAUCCAUUUUUAUCUCAGAACAUUUAAAUGGCAUGAAAAGAAAGAAUGAUGUGUAGGACUCAGAAGGAGGUCUGAAUUCCCUCUAGCACCCAAGUAAGUUAUUGCACAUUGCCAUGCCUCAAUUUCCUUGUCUGUGAAGUGGAUUGUUAUGAAAAUCCAGUAAGUUGUUAAGAAAACCAAUGAAUACAUGUAAUGCACCUAGCAAAUGGCUAGCACACAGCAAGCUCCUUGAGAAGCAUCACCUAUUAUUGUCAUUAGUAGCAAAUGCUUCUGUCCCAAGA
rnacentral:lncRNA from 1 species